rnacentral:misc_RNA from 1 species
UGCUUUAAAUUAUUUACUUAUCUGCGCAUAAUAGCCAAGCAUUUGGAAUGAGGUGAAACUCCUCAACUAUACCCGUAACUGUAAUCAGUUUUACUGUAAGUCAGAUACAAGUGCCUUAAAACUUCAUAUAA